GCCUCUCAUUGGAGAGGAAGCUGAAGAAAGGACAUAGAGGGUUGCUUCAGGCUCUGGACGGCGAAGGCUCUUCUCAGAGGCAGCUUCGUGUACUCCUCUCAUUUGGGGGAGCUGUGCAUUGUUCUUGUUUUGGGGAGCCAGUGUCACCUCAUGUUUUUUUACAAAGGGAAAAGAAAAGGCUUUUCUCUGUGCCUCUCUCUCUAUUGGAUGCUGUAAUUACAGGACCUCUUCCUUAGGCCUGGCCAGCAAGGAACCUUGGGAGGAGUCGCUGCAGAGAUCCCUAUUCAUUAUGGGAGAAGAUGGAGGAAGCUGUGGCCUUCUGCUUCGGUGCCUUUUACUUGGAUUUAAUUUCAUCAGCGCAGAGCUUUGCUGCAGAGGACCAGGAGAAGCAAUUACCGCGGAGAGUGUGCUGGGAUUGCAGACAUGUUAUAACAACUUGCUAGCCCACCGUACAGGAUGGGACCGAAGCCCAGACAAUGAUGAGUCGGUGGUGCAGAAGAUCAGAAGGGAAGACUGGAAGACCUUCCAGGAAGCUAAUGAAUCAUCAGACCGGUAGACCAGGUACCAAAGACAGAAGAAGAGACCACCCAGAAGCUGAGCCUGAUCAUCGCAUCAGCGCCUCCUGGCUGUGUUCUGUGACCUCUGCACAACUGGACUCCUAUUGCUCAGGCAGUGUUAGACUCCAAACCAGAUGGCUUCUCAGACCACAGCUGCAGCCCCCCUUCCCUGUCACAGCGAUGGACAGCGCCCUGCUGACAGCAGCAUGUCUGAAGGGCCAGCAAACAGGCUUUCCGGCAGCUGGAUUUGUCAGUAGGGCAAAUGAGUUUCCCAUCUUGGACACUGCAAAAUGCUACUAGUGUCCGCACUUCUUGUUUCCCACCUCCAUCUCUGCCACCUCACAGGGGCUCAGAGAGCCUGGCUGUAGGCCUGUGCUGUGGAACACCCUCUUUCUAGGGACCGAGAAGAAGGGCCCAGGCUCCUCUUCAGAGACUCGGGCCAUGCUAUUUGUCUCUGGUGCUCAAGCCAAACUCUCCUCAGAGCCCACAUGACACUGUCUGUCUGUCCUGCCUGCCUGCCUGUCUGGAGCAAAAGUAGCUCCUCAGAUGAACUCAUCACCAUGACAACUCAUCUGCGUGUGUCCUUGAGUCCCCAUCUGAGACCUUCGGUACGGUCCACUCAAGCUACUUAGCCAGCUCUGACCCCAGCUGGGCAGUUGUGUCUUUCCUCUUUGGGAAGGAUGGUGAGUGUCUGGGAAAUAUUUUAUCUGUCUAUCAUCAAGACCAUUUCAAAAAUCCUGACCAAGUGAAUAAAAUUAGUCUUCACCUCUGA